rnacentral:rRNA from 1 species
GACGUAGGGCGCGAGCGUUGUCCGGAUUUAUUGGGCGUAAAGAGCUCGUAGGCGGUUUGUUGCGUCGGCUGUGAAAUCCCGAGGCUCAACCUCGGGUCUGCAGUCGAUACGAGCAAACUAGAGUGUUGCAGGGGAGACUGGAACUCCUGGUGUAGCGGUGAAAUGCGCAGAUAUCAGGAGGAACACCGGUGGCGAAGGCGGGUCUCUGGGCAACAACUGGCGCUGAGGAGCGAAAGCGUGGGGAGCGAACAGG